rnacentral:rRNA from 1 species
ACGCUCGACACCUACGGAGGCAGCAGUCGGGAAUAUUGCGCAAUGGAGGAAACUCUGACGCAGUGACGCCGCGUAUAGGAAGAAGGUUUUCGGAUUGUAAACUAUUGUCGUUAGGGAAGAGAAAGGACAGUACCUAAGGAGGAAGCUCCGGCUAACUACGUGCCAGCACGGCCGGACGGUAAUCUGGAGGCGGGCUGGACAAGGC